rnacentral:lncRNA from 1 species
AGGGUGGGUGGGGAAAACACAAGAGGGAAGGCAAAGAGGAGAAAGCAGAUAGGAUAAAUACAGCCAAUAACUUUUCAUAUUAAAAAACCACUUGACAUUUAUGACAAAACAUUUUGACAAUAUUCUUCUUGCAGACCAGAGUACGUAACCCAACAACUCUGGUUUGCUUUCUGUUUUCACUUGGCUGCUCUAAUCUCUGUUUUAGGAACUCGCUUGCAAAAGAAGGCACAAUAAUCAUAGUUCAACUGUGCAGCCAUAUUUCAAGUCCUACACUGCUCAGCAAAACUGGAGUUGUUUAGAAGUUCAAAACUACAUGGAACUUUUGUUACAGAAUAUUAUUUGUGAUAUUUAAUACUUUUUCACAAAAUCACUUCCUAGCAGCUCAGAGCUGAGGGCUCUUCUGAUCAAUAGGGAUUUCUAGUUUUCUGGUUUUGUCAGUUUUAACCAUUGUCUUUAACUUGGGUAUUUUCACAGAAGAAACAAGGAAAGAUUGCACAAGAAGUUAAGAUAAACAGCGCAGGCAAUCCGAGUUUGCAAGGAACAAAGGGUCAGGAGAGGAGACAGAAUGGUGAGGUUCUCCCUCCUCCCGCCUUCAAAAGGCACAGGAUGUUUAGCAACAUCUAAAUAAUUUUCCCUGGUGUUUUCAACAGAUACCAGACUGAGAACUUCCAGCAUCAGAAAUGAGAAGACAUAACUCCUCAUCUGAAAAAAUGACCGAGUCCCAGGGACCCAUACUCUUCCUCAUUGUUCCACAAACAGGUCCGGGUUCUUCCAGAGACAGAAAGGAAAUGCUGAGCACACAAACCUGGUUUUCAAGCCUUUUCAACAGAUGGAGAGCGCCCAAGAAACCCGCGGUCUCAGGAAAGACACACACAUCCCUCAAAACUCCCACAGCUUCUAACACGUAAGUGUAAGCCUCAGUCAAGCAUGUGUGUGGUUCAGUGAGCAGCAGCUUCUGCAAGAGAGCUGCCAGUUUCCUUCCUGACAACAUGGAAGGAAACCAGAGGUACCACAAGGUCACUGCAGACAGAACAAGCUUUGGGAAAUGCAUCUAAUCUCUCGAAUCAUUUCUUACACUUUGUUAAUUGGUUUUGAGGCAGAGUUUAACCUCCCCCUGCACGCUGGGCUCUGGUGGUGCCUGAGAUCCAGUAGCUUAGAGCUCUGGCUGACAUGGCAUCUUCUGCCAAAUUGGUGACAUCUCCUGCCAAAUCAAUGCCACCCUCCAGUGGAAAGGCUUUAAACCUUAGAAAUGUUGCGUGGAUCAGCUGUAACUCAUGUAAAGUAAUAGGUGACUCCCCACAGACUGAUGCCAUCAAUCACAACUAUGGUCACAAUCUUGCAUAAAGCCAAUCUAACAAACACCUGGGUGCAGUUCACAGACUUUGCCUGUAUCUGAGAUAUCUUUGAGAUCAGUGCAAUACUCCCCAGAGCAAAAAGCAGUGACAUGACACACUACCAAGGCCACAAGGAAACAAAAAGUUCCAGCCACUUCUCCUGGGGAGGCAGAACCAGAUCCCUGUGACCUGCUCUGUCACACUAGCAUUAAAAAAAAAAAACCAAAGAAACCCCAAAAUGGCGAAAUAUGCCUUAAAUCUCUCGUACUAAACACACAGCCAUUCCCUGGCAGGACCCCUCAAGCAGGGAGUCACCAGAGAAGACACCAACUCACAGUUUUUACAGGGACAGAGCAGCAGUUUCUGAAGCCACGGGAGCAGGGUGCGGCCCCAGGGUCGUUAUCAGAGCAGGGAACAAUACACUGAGCUGACUGAGCCCUAUCUCUUGCCUUUCAUCAGGAAAUAGCAGCGAGUUUCCUUAUUACCAGCUGCCUGGGCAACUCAUUUAAGCUUCUUGGGAAACCAGUUAGAACAAUUAAGCUGGGAGUAACUCCCUUGAAACACGGAAGAUACAGCGCGCUUAUCCCUAUCUGACCAGUCAGAGGAGGUUUAAAGAAAGAUGACCUUUGAUUUAAUGCUACUGUAGUCGAUGCUCUUUGAAUCAUUCCAUGAGUGAGUAAUAAUAAUAAAAAGAAACCUUCUAGCA